AGUGAACGCUGGCGGUAGGCCUAACACAUGCAAGUCGAACGGCAGCACAGUAAGAGCUUGCUCUUACGGGUGGCGAGUGGCGGACGGGUGAGGAAUACAUCGGAAUCUACUUUUUCGUGGGGGAUAACGUAGGGAAACUUACGCUAAUACCGCAUACGCCCUACGGGUGAAAGCAGGGGAUCUUCGGACCUUGCGCGAUUGAAUGAGCCGAUGUCGGAUUAGCUAGUUGGCGGGGUAAAGGCCCACCAAGGCGACGAUCCGUAGCUGGUCUGAGAGGAUGAUCAGCCACACGGGAACUGAGACACGGUCCAGACUACUACGAGAGGCAGCAGUGGGGAAUAUUGGACAAAGGGCGCAAGCCUGAUCCAGCCAUACCGCGUGGGUGAAGAAGGCCUUCGGGUUGUAAAGACCUUUUGUUGGGAAAGAAAAGCAGCAGGUUAAUACCCCGCUGUUCCGACGGUACCCAAAGAAUAAGCACCGGCUAACUUCGUG
rnacentral:rRNA from 1 species